rnacentral:rRNA from 1 species
UACCAGCACCCCGAGUGGUCGGGACGUUUAUUGGGCCUAAAGCCUCCGUAGCCGGUUCUACAAGUCUUCCGUUAAAUCCACCUGCUUAACAGAUGGGCUGCGGAGGAUACUAUAGAGCUAGGAGGCGGGAGAGGCAAGCGGUACUUAGUGGGUAGGGGUAAAAUCCGUUGAUCCAUUGAAGACCACCAGUGGCGAAGGCGGCUUGCCAGAACGCACUCGACGGUGAGGGAUGAAAGCUGGGGGAGCAAACCGG